AGCAGUCCUAUUCUCUCUCGCAAUCUCCCUCUCGCGAUCCAUAUCUCUCUUCAUAUAACAAUUUUGGAAAGAGAUCCAUGUCUCUCUCGAAUUGGAGCAAGUAAUUUGGGCAUGGACGCCCCUCUCUCUCUCCAUAUGGAAACAGAUCCGUAUCUCUCCCAGUUUGCAACCGGGAAGUGGGGGCAUGGAUCUCCUGCGCUCAGCCUAUCACAGUAAUAUUAUUUUCUUCAUCUACAUCAGGUAUUCAAUUUCCUUUAUCGUGGCGGAUUAUUGAAGUAGAUGAUAGAGAUGGCAAAGUAAAAUCAGUGUCCUCAAUCCCUCCAAAAACAACAAAUAGAUCUUCCUGUGGCAUACAGAAAAGCACGUCCAAUGUCAACCAUUCCUAUACAGGUGGAUCUUAUUUUCUCUGCUGAUUAACCCUAACUGGAUCCUCGACUCUUUGCUGUGAUUUGGCUUCCCCAAUAAUAGUUUUCCCAAUCCUUCAACCAAGAGAGGCAAGGGGUGGUGUAUAUGGAGACGGACGGAGCUACUGUGGUUGGUGCCGUCCCAGAUGGUGGAUGAAGACCAUGCUAAUCCUGAUGAGCAGGUAGCAUGAUUUUAGCUCUUAGCAUUCAGGCUCCUACCAACCUCAUUGUUCUUAUAUGGAGGAGAUAGCAAGUAUUUUUCCUGUGGAGAAUUGGAUGGCACCACUGUGCAAACAUCUACUGCUGCAGCCUGCACGUGUUGUGUCUAAUUUUAUUGGGACUAUCUAGACUAUGAUGAAAACAUCUGGCUAGCGGAGACGAUAAAUAAUUAGUAAGUGCGUGACUGCUCUGGCGCUGAUGUGAUGCCCUCUUGCCGAAAACAGUAGCGACAGCAGCAGCACUCACCUCAGCUCUACCUUGCUCCAUCCCAUCUCCAUGUCUAUCAUCGACUCAUAAUCUCCAUCAGUGCUCCAAUCCACAUAAAAAGACCAUGAUCCAGUCCAGCAGAAUGACCAAGAGCUAGCGACGGUUGAUGACUUCAGCAAGGACGAUUUUGAUCAUGGGCUAAGUUAAAAGUAAACCCCUCACCUCAAAAGCAGGGUCAUGAUGUUUUAGGGAUCCAAGGAGUAGAUGCACUGACUGCAGUUUGAAGCCAAUGAAAAUUUUGCAUGUGACACCAUCACUGUUUUCUUUUAUCUUAUAAGUUGGAAAUUUGAAAGUACUUAUCUUCAUAGACACAUGUUUGUUGAUGUUUGUCCUAACAAUCAGACUAAUUGAAAGUCUGUUUCUACGGCUGAUGUAAUUCAACAUUACUAUCUUACAGAUUUUAUAUCUUUAUUGUCACUAGAUGAAUUCAGGUCCGCUGGGGUCUUCACUUUACACAUGUGUGCAUUUAGAUAAUUUGACAUCUAAUUGCUGCCAUUAGUCGCAAAUGGAAGUGCAGUCUGAAAGUUGGAGGAUGACAUGUUCUCUAGGGUCCGCAAUAUUUGAAAAAAUAGUGGUAA